UACGAGAGCCUCGAGCGUUAUCCGGAAUUACUGGGCGUAAAGCGCGCGUAGGCGGCUUUGUAAGUUAGAGGUGAAAGCCCGGAGCUCAACUCCGGAACUGCCUUUAAAACUGCAUCGCUUGAAUCCAGGAGAGGUGAGUGGAAUUCCGAGUGUAGAGGUGAAAUUCGUAGAUAUUCGGAAGAACACCAGUGGCGAAGGCGGCUCACUGGACUGGUAUUGACGCUGAGGUGCGAGAGCGUGGGGAGCAAACAGG
rnacentral:rRNA from 1 species